CUACGGGGUGCACCAGUGAGGAAUAUUGCACAAUGGGGGGAACCCUGAUGCAGCAACGCCGCGUGGAGGAUGACGCAUUUCGGUGUGUAAACUCCUUUUAUAUGUCAAGAAAAUGACGGUAGCAUAUGAAUAAGCACCGGCUAACUCCGUGCCAGCAGCCGCGGUAAUACGGAGGGUGCAAGCGUUACUCGGAAUCACUGGGCGUAAAGGACGCGUAGGCGGGUUGGAAAGUCAGGUGUGAAAUCCUACAGCUAAACUGUAGAACUACACUUGAAACUUCUAAUCUAGAGUAUGGGAGGGGGAGAUGGAAUUAGUGGUGUAGGGGUAAAAUCCGUAGAUAUCACUAGGAAUACCUAAAGCGAAGGCGAUCUCCUGGAACAUUACUGACGCUAAGGCGUGAAAGCGUGGGAGCAAACAGGAUUAGAUACCCGGGUAGUC
rnacentral:rRNA from 1 species